GACGAACGCUGGCGGCGUGCCUAACACAUGCAAGUCGAACGGGGCUAGGAAAGCUUGCUUUCCGAUGCCUAGUGGCGGACGGGUGAGUAACGCGUGAGUAACCUGCCUUUCAGAGGGGAAUAACGUUCUGAAAAGAACGCUAAUACCGCAUAACGUACAGUUACCGCAUGGUAGCAGUACCAAAGGAGCAAUCCGCUGAGAGAUGGACUCGCGUCCGAUUAGCUAGUUGGUGGGGUAAAGGCCUACCAAGGCGACGAUCGGUAGCCGGACUGAGAGGUUGAACGGCCACAUUGGGACUGAGACACGGCCCAGACUCCUACGGGAGGCAGCAGUGGGGGAUAUUGCACAAUGGGGGAAACCCUGAUGCAGCAACGCCGCGUGUGGGAAGAAGGUUUUCGGAUUGUAAACCACUGUUCUUGGUGAAGAUAAUGACGGU
rnacentral:rRNA from 1 species